rfam:Candidatus Wallbacteria bacterium GWC2_49_35 gwc2_scaffold_2751, whole genome shotgun sequence.
GCCGAGGUAGCUCAGUUGGUAGAGCAACGGACUGAAAAUCCGUGUGUCCGCAGUUCAAUUCUGCGCUUCGGCA